UACAGAGGGGGGCAAGCGUUAUUCGGAAUUAUUGGGCGUAAAGGGCGCGUAGGCGGCUUUGCAAGUGACGGGUGAAAGCCCUCGGCUUAACCGAGGAACUGCCUGUCAGACUGUGAGGCUUGAGACCGGGAGAGGUGAGUGGAAUUCCCAGUGUAGCGGUGAAAUGCGUAGAUAUUGGGAGGAACACCAGUGGCGAAGGCGGCUCACUGGACCGGAACUGACGCUGAGGCGCGAAAGCGUGGGGAGCAAACAGG
rnacentral:rRNA from 1 species